rnacentral:rRNA from 1 species
AUGAAUGGGGAGAUUGUAACACAAUUUCUCACUAUGGAGUCCUUACUUGAUGAGAGCGUUGGCAGCGAGAUAAAUUUGCAGAUCGAAAGAGGUGGAACUCCUUUGACAGUAAAGCUGAAGUACUACAACACCGGUAGUUGUACACAUAUGAUGGUGAUUCGCUCCGGCCAUUCCAGUUUUGGCGGUGGUGGUGCUGCUGCUCCUAUGAUGGUAGACUCGUCUGAUUUCCCUAGCCGCAUCCAUGGUGAUGAAGCUCGGCCUAGGCUAGAACCCCCUCCAGUGAGCUCCUCAAGUCCUCUUAUACCCCUCCUAAUUGCUUGUUGGUUCUAUGCUCUGCCUUUGUGA